GACGAAUUCUGGCGGCGUGCUUAACACAUGCAAGUCGAACGGUAAGGCUCCAGCUUGCUGGGGUACACGAGUGGCGAACGGGUGAGUAACACGUGGGUGACCUGCCCUGCACUUCGGGAUAAGCCUGGGAAACUGGGUCUAAUACCGGAUAGGACCGCACCGUGAGGGUGUGGUGGAAAGUUUUUUCGGUGUGGGAUGGGCCCGCGGCCUAUCAGCUUGUUGGUGGGGUAAUGGCCUACCAAGGCGGCGACGGGUAGCCGGCCUGAGAGGGUGGACGGCCACAUUGGGACUGAGACACGGCCCAGACUCCUACGGGAGGCAGCAGUGGGGAAUAUUGCACAAUGGGCGGAAGCCUGAUGCAGCGACGCCGCGUGGGGGAUGACGGCCUUCGGGUUGUAAACUCCUUUCACCAUCGACGAAGGGUUUCUGACGGUAGAUGGAGAAGAAGCACCGGCUAACUACGUGCCAGCAGCCGCGGUAAUACGUAGGGUGCGAGCGUUGUCCGGAAUUACUGGGCGUAAAGAGCUCGUAGGUGGUUUGUCGCGUCGUCUGUGAAAUUCCGGGGCUUAACUCCGGGCGUGCAGGCGAUACGGGCAUAACUUGAGUACUGUAGGGGAGACUGGAAUUCCUGGUGUAGCGGUGAAAUGCGCAGAUAUCAGGAGGAACACCGGUGGCGAAGGCGGGUCUCUGGGCAGUAACUGACGCUGAGGAGCGAAAGCAUGGGGAGCGAACAGGAUUAGAUACCCUGGUAGUCCAUGCCGUAAACGGUGGGCGCUAGGUGUGGGUUUCCUUCCACGGGAUCCGUGCCGUAGCUAACGCAUUAAGCGCCCCGCCUGGGGAGUACGGCCGCAAGGCUAAAACUCAAAGGAAUUGACGGGGGCCCGCACAAGCGGCGGAGCAUGUGGAUUAAUUCGAUGCAACGCGAAGAACCUUACCUGGGCUUGACAUAUACAGGAUCGCGCCAGAGAUGGUGUUUCCCUUGUGGCUUGUAUACAGGUGGUGCAUGGUUGUCGUCAGCUCGUGUCGUGAGAUGUUGGGUUAAGUCCCGCAACGAGCGCAACCCUUGUCUUAUGUUGCCAGCACGUUGUGGUGGGGACUCGUAAGAAACUGCCGGGGUUAACUCGGAGGAAGGUGGGGAUGACGUCAAAUCAUCAUGCCCCUUAUGUCCAGGGCUUCACACAUGCUACAAUGGUCGGUACAGUGGGUUGCCAGUCCGUGAGGGCGAGCUAAUCCCGCAAAGCCGGUCUCAGUUCGGAUCGGGGUCUGCGACUCGACCCCGUGAAGUCGGAGUCGCUAGUAAUCGCAGAUCAGCAGCGCUGCGGUGAAUACGUUCCCGGGCCU
rnacentral:rRNA from 1 species